AUAGGACCUGAACUAGAUUUGGCCUCGUCCUGGACUGCAUUCUUGGGCACAUCAAUUUGUCCGGCAGCUGCCGUGAUGGACAUGAUCCCAUUAGACUCUAUAUUUUGUUUUGCAUCCUUUUCAGUGAGAAAGCUAACGUGCGAGAAACCUUUCUUACUUAAUUCCCUAAAUGUGCAGAGUGAGUUUGAAUGGCAGUUGUGGAAGUUAGUUGUUUUUCUUUUCUUUUUUUUGUUUUAAAGAAUGCAAAUGGGAAAAUACUGAUCCUUUUAGCAGUUCCUUCUGAACCAUGUGGCUGCUCCUUUAUUCUACAUGUAUGAAAACUUGGGAAACGUUGAUUCCUAUCGCUUUUAGAUUUAAUUAAGUAUUUUUAGCUACUUUUGGAUCUCUGUUUUGGGUCAUGUUUCAUAUUUUUUGUUGAAUUUGCUAUCUUUUUGUGAGCCUUUAGAUGAAUCACCAUGCACUCUUGGUUUUUGUUUUUUCUCCCUGCCGGCACCUUAGGUCAUAAUUGGACAUUUGGGAUGGUUAGAUAUAUUGCUUUUGAUGCAAUCAAUUCAGAUUCUUGCGCUGGCUCUACUUGGAUAAUUAAGGGGAUGAGUUGCAGAAGAAUUUCUAUGCUCUGCCUAUUUCCUAAUGGAUGUGGUUAAUCUGCCUUCCCCCCUUCAUUAUCACUUGGUCUUCUGUGAAUAUUCAUUGUGAGGUGAUGAAUUCGGUUCCCAUGAGAUUUUUGGGUGUAAUUUGUUAUAUGUUAAAAUACACAUUAUGGAUGUUUUACGAUUUUUUAUGACAAUUUUACGCCA